UUUAAGUACAAUUGUGGGUUUCUCUGUCUCUGUAUUUAACGUUUGACUGUUCGUCUUAUUUGAAUUUUUUUAUGGUUAAUAUUUUUAUUGUUAUUAGAUGAUAAAACAUGAAUAAUACUUCACGCGUGACUUAUUUCUUUAAUUUUUUUUUCACAUAUUUAUAAAUAAGACGGAUGAUCAAACGUUGGACACGAAACCCACAACUACACUUAAA
rfam:Oryza sativa Japonica Group DNA, chromosome 4, cultivar: Nipponbare, complete sequence.